rnacentral:rRNA from 1 species
UACAGAGGGGGCAAGCGUUAUUCGGAAUUAUUGGGCGUAAAGGGCGCGUAGGCGGCCUGGCAAGUGGAAGGUGAAAUCCCUCGGCUUAACCGAGGAACUGCCCUCCAAACUGCUUGGCUUGAGACCGGGAGAGGUGAGUGGAAUUCCCAGUGUAGCGGUGAAAUGCGUAGAUAUUGGGAAGAACACCGGUGGCGAAGGCGGCUCUCUGGACCGAGACUGACGCUGAGGCGCGAAAGCGUGGGGAGCAAACAGG